AUGACCUCACCAUGCCACGUCAUCACGAGCGCAGCUUUCGGGGUGAUUCUGGGUCGCCCGAACGAAUUUCAUUGUUUUCUACUCGCAGCUCCAUUCCCCUCCCCCUGGACACCACUCCCCCACUCUCCUUUUUCGUCGCUGGAUUUGAAGAUGGCCGGCCAAAUCAGGCCGCCGGGACGGCGCGCUGUGCUGGAGAUGCGUCGGGCCGGCUGCGUGUGGCCCAGGCGAGCGGCGGAUCGGGGCAGCGUCGAGCGGGACGAGCAGGCGAGCUCCUGUUUGAUGCAGAGGAAGCAGAGGUCGGCGGCAGUGGACUUGGCGAAAGGCGCCGCGACGAAGGCGAGUUCGGGAGGGUGUGGAGGAGCGGAUCCGGCGCAGGGAGACGGUUCCCGGCGGCGGCGAUGGAUCUGGAGGACAGUGGAUCCCCAUGGCGGCGGCGUUCGGGCCGGCGCGGCGGAGAUGGCCAACCAAAUCAUGGUAAAGCACGGCCACCUGGAGGCAACGGCGGGCGUCCAACACCUCGACGCCGGCCACGGUCGCGUUUUCUUCGAGCUCAGCGUCCAUGGGCGACGAGACCUUCCUCCUCGUCUUCUCCGUCCUAUUGGACGCCGCCGACCUCGUCCGAUGCGCGGCCGCCGGGAGGCGAGGACGCCAUCCAGCGCUGUGGCGCCCUUCACGACCACAGCUUCUCCUAGCACAGCGGCCAUACGCUGCACAUGGGCAACGGGCGCAUCCUCCUCGUCUUCUUCGGCCGCUCAAGUGCCACAUUUGAAGAUAGUCUUAGUGAACAGGUGUGCUGAGCCAGCUGCCGAAGGCGUAUUCGCGAAUUUCUCCCUCCUUCUGACAGAGGACCCAGUGGAGGAACCUGAUGUAAUCGACCUUGGUACCGUGUAUGAGGAAGACAGGACCAAGUUCCCUUUGAUAACUGGCAGCGAGGACGAGAACGAUGAGGACAUAGAGACUGGGAUGACCGCCUGCAUUUCUCAAAGAACCUCCGGGACAUCAUUCACCUGGAGAUCACGCUGGACGCCUUCUGCAGCAGCACCUGCAAGGGUCUGUGCCUCGUCUGCGGCGCGAACCUCAACACGAGCAGUUGCAUCUGCGGCACGGAGGAGCCGCAGGCCAAGGACGCCAGGCGGCCGGGAACCCUCAAAGACCUGCUCAAGCCUAUGCAGAGAAGAUGACGAUGAGGCAAACAGUGCAUAUGUAGGUAUCUUGUAA
rnacentral:rRNA from 1 species